rnacentral:rRNA from 1 species
AUMAAGAAUAAUUAGUGGCAGACGGGUGAGUAAUGCAUAGGAAUCUACCUAGUAGUAUGGGAUAGCCACUAGAAAUGGUGGGUAAUACUGUAUAAUCCCUGCGGGGGAAAGAUUUAUCGCUAUUAGAUGAGCCUAUGUUAGAUUAGCUAGUUGGUAGGGUAAAGGCCUACCAAGGCGAUGAUCUAUAGCUGGUCUGAGAGGAUGAUCAGCCACACUGGAACUGAGAUACGGUCCAGACUCCUACGGGAGGCAGCAGUGGGGAAUAUUGGACAAUGGGCGCAAGCCUGAUCCAGCUAUGCCGCGUGAGUGAGGAAGGCCUUAGGGUUGUAAAACUCUUUCAGUAGGGAAGAUAAUGACGGUACCUACAGAAGAAGUCCCGGCAAACUCCGUGCCAGCAGCCGCGGUAAUACGGAGGGGGCAAGCGUUGUUCGGAAUUAUUGGGCGUAAAGGGCAUGUAGGCGGUUCGGUAAGUUAAAGGUGAAAUGCCAGGGCUUAAC